UACGUAGGGUGCGAGCGUUAAUCGGAAUCACUGGGCGUAAAGCGCGUGUAGGCGGCCCUAUAAGUCUGGUGUGAAAGCCCGGGGCUUACCCCCGGAAGUGCACUGGAAACUGCAGGGCUAGAGUACCGGAGAGGAAGGUGGAAUUCCUGGUGUAGCGGUGAAAUGCGUAGAUAUCAGGAGGAACACCGGUGGCGAAGGCGGCCUUCUGGACGGAUACUGACGCUGAGACGCGAAAGCGUGGGGAGCAAACAGG
rnacentral:rRNA from 1 species